rnacentral:rRNA from 1 species
UACGGAGGGGGCGAGCGUUAUUCGGAAUUAUUGGGCGUAAAGGGCGCGUAGGCGGCCCGGUAAGUCAAAGGUGAAAUCCCUCGGCUCAACUGAGGAACUGCCUUUGAAACUGUCGGGCUUGAGGCCGGGAGGGGUAGCGGAAUUCCCAGUGUAGCGGUGAAAUGCGUAGAUACUGGGAGGAACACCAGUGGCGAAGGCGGACUACCUGGACCGGUUCGUGACGCUGAUGCGCGAAAGCGUGGGUAGCAAACAGG